AUGGAGCAGCAAAAACCUGAGCGACGGGUUAUUGGCCAGCUAGAGGACAGCAAGUGGACCCGAUAUUUUCUGGACGCUGUCCAGUUGCCUUGCUCUGGCCAGUCUCAGAAAAUGAUCAAGGAUAGAAGGGAUGAGCUUGUGCAGAAGGUAUGCUGCAUGAUCAAAAGGUAUACGUCCAGCAAGAAGGAUAUAUCAAAGGGGAUGAGGGCAGUUGAUGCCAUUGAGCACCUUGGUGUUGGUUACCACUUUGAGGAGGAGGUCAAUAAGUUCAUGGAUGUCCUCAUCUUCACAUCGAUUGAUGAGAAUGACUUGGCCGGAGUUGCCCUACGGUUCCGACUGUUGAGGCAACACCAAUAUGACAUUCCUUGUGAAGUAUUGAAGAGUUUCAAGGAUGAAAAGGGUGAGCACUUCAAAGACGAUGUGCAAUCUGACAUUGGCACUCUACUUAGCCUUUAUGAGGCAGCCCACCUAGCUAAAUGUGGGGAGGAAUCUCUCACUGAUUCUAUAAGAUUCACCACCAGCUGCCUCUCUUCCCUAUCUGGAGGCAACCAGCUACCCGAUCAUCUCAUCAACAGAGUACGGCAUGCACUGGCUACGCCAUCGCAGCGGAGGAUGAAAAGGCUGGAGGCCAAGCUUUACAUCUCCAUCUAUGAGAAGGAUGAUGAAGGCGACCAGGAUAUACUUGAGCUUGCUAAGCUGGACUUCCACAUCUUGCAGCUGAUGCACCGGGAUGAGAUCAAGAGCAUAUCUUUGUGGUACAAGGACCUUAAUUCUGGCAGCGCGCUGGGUGAAUACAUUCGAGAAAGACCGGUGGAGUGCUACUUUUGGGCCCUUGGUGUGUUCUACGAGCCAAAGUAUGCCAAAGCACGUAUGAUGUUUGCCAAACUUAUAAAGAUGUUCUCAUUUUUCGAUGAUACAUUUGAUUCGUAUGGCACCUUGGAAGAGCUUCGUCAGUUUAACCAAGCGGUACAAAGAUGGGAUGAAGAAGAUGCGAGACGCAUCGGGAAGUGCUACGGGUAUGUAAUGUCAAAUAUUUCCAGCAUACUGAACCAAUUUGUGGAGGACGGAGCUUCAGCCAUAGGAAUCGCCUGCACCAAAGAGAUUAUCAAGCAUGUAAGCAGAUGCAUGUUGCAAGAGGUGCUAUGGAGAGAAGAGGAGCAAGUGCCACCUGUUCAGGAUCAUCUCAGGAUAACUGCAAUAAGCACGUUCUACUGGGCAUUGGCGUCCAUUUCAUUUACCGGAAUGGAUGCAGGCGAUGACGUUUUCACCUGGGCAACCUCGUUCCCAAAAAUCAUAGAGAAUGCAGCAAUGGUGUCACGCCUAAUGGACGAUAUUUCUGGACAUGAGUGUGAGAAGGAGAGGUCUAACGUUGCGACGGCAGUUGAUUGCUAUAUCAAAGAGCAUGGUGUCACCGUGGAUCAAGCAAAGGAAGCAUUAGGCCGCCUCGUGGAGGAGCAGUGGAGGAGCAUCAACGAGGAGUUCCUCACUAAUACCACGGUGCCUGUUGAAGUGCUGACACGUGUAGUGAACCUUGCACGGGUCAUGGAUUGCAUGUACAAGAAGCUGGAUGGUUACACCCACUCGUCGGAGACAGCAGACCCCAUAGACAAGCUGCUCAACAGCUGCGUAAACCAUUAA
rnacentral:rRNA from 1 species